AACGUAGGAGGCGAGCGUUAUCCGGACUUACUGGGCGUAAAGCGCACGCAGGCGGCUCGGCAAGUUGGGCGUUAAAGCUCCUGGCUUAACUGGGAGAGGUCGUUCGAAACUACCGGGCUUGAGGUUGGGAGAGGGGUGUGGAAUUCCCGGUGUAGUGGUGGAAUGCGUAGAUAUCGGGAGGAACACCAGUGGCGAAGGCGGCACCCUGGCCCACACCUGACGCUGAUGUGCGAAAGCGUGGGGAGUAAACAGG
rnacentral:rRNA from 1 species